UUGCAAGUGUGUCUAAUAUUGCCUGUUUCAAGAAGCACCUGUAAAUCCAUGAUAACCAUCAUGCUGAACAAUGCUGCAACAUUUGACUCACAUCUCCUACCAAGAAUACAACCAGCUUUGGGUUAUUAAAUAAAACAACAAUUCCUUGGCUGGAAAAUUGGGUUCUGUGACCAUGGCCCUUAUUGAAAAGCAAGAUAACUGACCAUGGAUGAGCUCCUCCUCACCGAGCAGGACAGAGCUCAAAGCCACUGGCAUUCUCUGGGCAAGUCUGCGCACUGCCCAGCUUUCUUCACUUGUGACCCACACUACAUUAAGACCAAGGACAUUCUCACAGAAGAUCUGAAGGAGGAGACCCUGAUGAAUUGGGAGUUUAAAAUACAAAUGGAACUUCCUUU